CACGAACCGGACAAACGUUAAUCGGAUUUACUGGGCGUAAAGCGUGCGUAGGCGGCUUUUUAAGUCGGAUGUGAAAUCCCCGAGCUUAACUUGGGAAUUGCAUUCGAUACUGGGAAGCUAGAGUAUGGGAGAGGAUGGUAGAAUUCCAGGUGUAGCGGUGAAAUGCGUAGAGAUCUGGAGGAAUACCGAUGGCGAAGGCAGCCAUCUGGCCUAAUACUGACGCUGAGGUACGAAAGCAUGGGGAGCAAACAGG
rnacentral:misc_RNA from 1 species